AACGAACGCUGGCGGCAUGCCUAACACAUGCAAGUCGAACGAGACCUUCGGGUCUAGUGGCGCACGGGUGCGUAACGCGUGGGAACCUGCCCUUAGGUUCGGAAUAACUCCCCGAAAGGGGUGCUAAUACCGGAUAAUGUCUUCGGACCAAAGAUUUAUCGCCUUUGGAUGGGCCCGCGUUGGAUUAGCUAGUUGGUAGGGUAAAAGCCUACCAAGGCGACGAUCCAUAGCUGGUCUGAGAGGAUGAUCAGCCACACUGGGACUGAGACACGGCCCAGACUCCUCCGGCAGGGAGCAGGGGGGAAGUUUGGACAAUGGGCGAAAGCCUGACCCAGCAAGGCCCGGGGAGUGAUGAAGGCCUUAGGGUUGUAAACCUCUUUACCCGGGAUGAUAAUGACAGUACCGGGAGAAUAAGCUCCGGCUAACUCCGUG
rnacentral:rRNA from 1 species